GACAUGAUUCAGUGUAAAUCAUCUCCGUCUGUCCGUACAGCUGAAAGCUUCAGGUUUGCAUCUAGAAAUGACACAAUUUCCCUGAAUGAUCUGAAGACGGUCACUUUACAGCAGCAGAAACACAUGAACCUCUGAACAGGGAGAGAUUCAGGCUGUUGAAGUUCAGUGAGACACAAGAGCAUCAGUGAGGUCAGACACUGACGGAGAGUAAUGAUCCAGUUCAUCUCAGAGGUCUGAAGUCAGUUUCUCAUUAUGGAAAACAUAUGGAGCAGUGAGAGAUCUUCAUCUGCAGAACCCAGUGAUGAACCCGUGACCUCUGACCCCAAGCAGAAGAAGAGUAAUGUUUAAGUGCACCAGUCCUUAUCAUCAGUUUCACCAAAUCAAGGCAGUUUACCCGGCUAAUGGGAGAGAUGGGCCUGCUUGUUUUUUAGAAUUACAUUCCAGUUUGGUGUACAUGAGGAGAGUGCAACACGCAUAUCAGUGACUGGAGUCAGACAUCUUCAUCUCAAAGAGCUAAAAGAGAGUCUGAGAGUUACAUUAGUUGUCUUCAUGCUGAAGCAGGGACCUCUGACCCCAGUGUGGAUCGUUGUGGAGAGUUCAGAAGUACAGCAGAACUACA